rnacentral:rRNA from 1 species
AGAGUUUGAUCCNGNGCUCAGGAUGAACGCUGGCGGCGUGCCUAACACAUGCAAGUCGAGCGAUCUUCUUCGGAAGAGAGCGGCGGACGGGUGAGUAACGCGUGGGUAACCUGCCCUGUACACACGGAUAACAUACCGAAAGGUAUGCUAAUACGAGAUAAUAUGCUUUUAUCGCAUGGUAGAAGUAUCAAAGCUCCGGCGGUACAGGAUGGACCCGCGUCUGAUUAGCUAGUUGGUAAGGUAACGGCUUACCAAGGCGACGAUCAGUAGCCGACCUGAGAGGGUGAUCGGCCACAUUGGAACUGAGACACGGUCCAAACUCCUACGGGAGGCAGCAGUGGGGAAUAUUGCACAAUGGGCGAAAGCCUGAUGCAGCAACGCCGCGUGAGCGAUGAAGGCCUUCGGGUUGUAAAGCUCUUUCAGCUGGAACGAAACGGUACGCUCUAACAUAGCGUGCUAAUGACGGUACCGGCAGAAGAAGCACCGGCUAACUACGUGCCAGCAGCCGCGGUAAUACGUAGGGUGCGAGCGUUAAUCGGAAUUACUGGGCGUAAAGCGUGCGCAGGCGGAUUGUUAAGCAAGACGUGAAAGCCCCGGGCUUAACCUGGGAAUGGCGUUUUGAACUGGCAGUCUAGAGUGCGUCAGAGGGGGGUGGAAUUCCACGUGUAGCAGUGAAAUGCGUAGAGAUGUGGAGGAACACCGAUGGCGAA